rnacentral:lncRNA from 1 species
GGUGCAGAACAGGCUCCCUAGGAGGAGCAGGAGAGGCUGGGGGCUGCCUCUAGAGCAGAGUCCUCAGGGACCCUGAGGCAGACGGUGGGACAGAGGGAUUGCUAGGCCAUAGUUUGUCUUAAGGGUCUUUUCCAGGUUUUCCUCAUAGAAUUUAGCUGUUACUAGGAGUUAGGGCACUUGGGUGGACUUUAAUUGAAAUAAAGACACUAAUAUCUUGCUGUGGAUCAGCUGUCUUCACGCCGCCUCCCCCAGUCCCGCUGUCUAAAAAGUAAUAGAACAUUUUAAAACUGCAAAUUAUACAUUAGGGCGGUACCGUAAGUAGACAGACUUCUCUUGGAAGUGGCUAGAUUUCUGUUAUAUUUCCGUGAAACUCCACCUUGUGGCUACUGCUUUUUGACUCUGCUCUCUCUGUAAAGUGGCAGAUCCCACACCCUUUCACAUUCAAGCCGAAGUAACCAUGAAAACAAACUUUUUCGGUACCCGAGAUGUCUGCACAGAGCUGCUCCCUCUGAUAAAGCCAGGAGGCAGAGUGGUGAAUGUGUCCAGCAUGAUGAGUCUCAGGGCCCUUAAAGGCUGCAGCCCAGAGCUGCAGCAGAAGUUUCGAAGUGAGACCAUCAGUGAGGAGGAGCUGGUGGGGCUCAUGAACAAGUUCGUGGAAGACA